AUGCUAUCCUGGGGCUCUGGGGGGUGCUAUCCUGGGGCUCCGGGGGGUGCUAUCCUGGGGUUCUGGGGGUACUAUCCUGGGGCUCUGGGUGCUAUCCUGGGGCUCCGGAGGGUGCUAUCCUGGGGUUCUGGGGGUACUAUCCUGGGGCUCUGGGUGCUAUCCUGGGGCUCUGGGGGUGCUAUCCUGGGGCUCUGGGUGCUAUCCUGGGGCUCUGGGGGUGCUAUCCUGGGGCUCCGGGGGGUGCUAUCCUGGGGCUCUGGGGGUGCUAUCCUGGGGCUCCAGGGGGUGCUAUCCUGGGGCUCUGGGGGUGCUAUCCUGGGGCUCUGGGUGCUAUCCUGGGGCUCUGGGGGUGCUAUCCUGGGGCUCUGGGGGUGCUAUCCUGGGGCUCUGGGGAGUACUAUCCUGGGGCUCUGUGGGGGUGCUAUCCUGGGGCUCCGGGGGGUGCUAUCCUGGGGCUCUGGGUGCUAUCCUGGGGCUCUGGGGGUGCUAUCCUGGGGCUCCGGGGGGUGCUAUCCUGGGGCUCUGGGGGGUGCUAUCCUGGGGCUCCGGGGGGUGCGUAUCCUGGGGCUCUGCGGAGUGCUAUCCUGGGGCUCUCGGGGGCCGGGCCUGGCUUCCGGGAGAGCCGGGCGAGCAGACUGGUGCUUUAGCAGCCCCUCGUCUGAGGGAGGCCAGGCCCGUGGGGGGCCUGAUGUGAGUGAGGGGCCUCCAGGCCUGUUGGAGGCUGGCCUCCCUUUGCGGGGGGAGCCAGUAGCGAUGGGAGCCUGGGGGAAAGGUCAGGGUGGGGAUGGCCACCACCCCUUUGGGUCCCCGGUUUGGCCGCAGGUGGCCCUGUGGUGCUUCCUCCAGGCCUCUGGAUGCCUCCUGGUGUGGGAGCCCCCAGGCUCAGCUCCAGAGCCUGUAGAACCCUCCAGGGCUUUCUCAAAUCCUCCCUCAAUCCCACUCCACGGUCAGACUCACCCCGCCCUCCUGAGGCCCGUGAAAGACCUUGAGGCCUUGACCUAA
rnacentral:lncRNA from 1 species